GCCCUUGUAUCUCAUUGGAUAGAGCAAUGGUCUGAUAAACCAGGGGAAGUGAGCUUAACUCCCUCCGAGGGUG
rnacentral:tRNA from 1 species